rnacentral:rRNA from 1 species
UGGGGAAUUUUGGACAAUGGGGGCAACCCUGAUCCAGCCAUCCCGCGUGUGCGAUGAAGGCCUUCGGGUUGUAAAGCACUUUUGGCAGGGAAGAAACAGCCUGGGCUAAUAUCCCGGGCGACUGACGGUACCUGCAGAAUAAGCACCGGCUAACUACGUGCCAGCAGCCGCGGUAAUACGUAGGGUGCAAGCGUUAAUCGGAAUUACUGGGCGUAAAGCGUGCGCAGGCGGCUCGGAAAGAAAGGUGUGAAAUCCCAGGGCUUAACCUUGGAACUGCACUUUUAACUACCGGGCUAGAGUACGUCAGAGGGGGGUAGAAUUCCACGUGUAGCAGUGAAAUGCGUAGAGAUGUGGAGGAAUACCGAUGGCGAAGGCAGCCCCCUGGGAUGAUACUGACGCUCAUGCACGAAAGCGUGGGGAGCAAACA